GGUUCCCUACGGGACGCAGCAGUGGGGGAUAUUGCACAAUGGGGGGAACCCUGAUGCAGCGACGCCGCGUGGGUGAAGGAGCGUUUCGGCGCGUAAAGCCCUAUCGGCAGGGAAGAAGAUGACGGUAUCUGACCAAGAAGCCCCGGCUAGCUACGUGCCAGCAGCCGCGGUAAUACGUAGGGGGCCAGCGUUAUCCGGAUUUACUGGGUGUAAAGGGGGCGCAGACGGCAAUGCAAGCCAGGAGUGAAAGCCCGGGGCCCAACCCCGGGCCUGCUCUU
rnacentral:rRNA from 1 species